rnacentral:tRNA from 1 species
GUCAGGAUGGCCGAGCGGUCUAAGGCGCCAGACUCAAGGUUCAUACCUUCUCGGUUCAAUACCGAGUUAUUAGGGCUUUCUGGUCCUCUCUGAGGGCGUGGGUUCGAAUCCCACUUCUGACA